GAUGGGUAGGGGAGCGUCGUGUGCCGGGUGAAGCAGCCGCGGAAGCGAGUUGUGGACGGUUCACGAGUGAGAAUGCAGGCAUGAGUAGCGAUACAAACGUGAGAAACGUUUGCGCCGAUUGACCAAGGGUUCCUGGGUCAAGCUGAUCUGCCCAGGGUAAGUCGGGACCUAAGGCGAGGCCGACAGGCGUAGUCGAUGGAUAACCGGUUGAUAUUCCGGUACCCGCUGUGAAGCGUCAAACAUUGAACCAGGCGAUGCUAAGUCCGUGAAGCCGUCCCGGAUCCUUCGGGUGAAGGGGAGUGGUGGAGCCGACGGACCAGACUUGCAGUAGGUGAGUGAUGGGGUGACGCAGGAAGGUAGUCCAUCCCGGGCGGUGGUUGUCCCGGGGUAAGGGUGUAGGACGUCAGGUAGGUAAAUCCGCCUGGCAAUAGUCUGAGACCUGAUGCCGAGCCGAUUGUGGUGAAGUGGAUGAUCCUAUGCUGUCGAGAAAAGCCUCUAGCGAGUUUCAUGGCGGCCCGUACCCUAAACCGACUCAGGUGGUCUGGUAGAGAAUACCGAGGCGUUCGGGUGAACUAUGGUUAAGGAACUCGGCAAAAUGCCCCCGUAACUUCGGGAGAAGGGGGGCCAUCACUGGUGAUCCGAUUUACUCGGUGAGCUGGGGGUGGCCGCAGAGACCAGCGAGAAGCGACUGUUUACUAAAAACACAGGUCCGUGCGAAGCCGUAAGGCGAUGUAUACGGACUGACGCCUGCCCGGUGCUGGAACGUUAAGGGGACCGGUUAGUCACUCUUCGGGGUGGCGAAGCUGAGAACUUAAGCGCCAGUAAACGGCGGUGGUAACUAUAACCAUCCUAAGGUAGCGAAAUUCCUUGUCGGGUAAGUUCCGACCUGCACGAAUGGCGUAACGACUUCUCGACUGUCUCAACCAUAGGCCCGGUGAAAUUGCACUACGAGUAAAGAUGCUCGUUUCGCGCAGCAGGACGGAAAGACCCCGGGACCUUUACUACAGUUUGAUAUUGGUGUUCGGUUCGGCUUGUGUAGGAUAGCUGGGAGACUGUGAAGCUCGGACGCCAGUUCGGGUGGAGUCGUCGUUGAAAUACCAGUCUGGUCGUGCUGGAUGUCUAACCCGGGUCCGUGAUCCGGAUCGGGGACAGUGUCUGAUGGGUAGUUUAACUGGGGCGGUUGCCUCCCAAAGGGUAACGGAGGCGCCCAAAGGUUCCCUCAGCCUGGUUGGCAAUCAGGUGGUGAGUGUAAGUGCACAAGGGAGCUUGACUGUGAGACCGACGGGUCGAGCAGGGACGAAAGUCGGGACUAGUGAUCCGGCGGUGGCUUGUGGAAGCGCCGUCGCUCAACGGAUAAAAGGUACCCCGGGGAUAACAGGCUGAUCUUCCCCAAGAGUCCAUAUCGACGGGAUGGUUUGGCACCUCGAUGUCGGCUCGUCGCAUCCUGGGGCUGGAGUCGGUCCCAAGGGUUGGGCUGUUCGCCCAUUAAAGCGGUACGCGAGCUGGGUUUAGAACGUCGUGAGACAGUUCGGUCCCUAUCCGCUGCGCGCGCAGGAAUAUUGAGAAGGGCUGUCCCUAGUACGAGAGGACCGGGACGGACGAACCUCUGGUGUGCCAGUUGUUCUGCCAAGGGCAUGGCUGGUUGGCUACGUUCGGGAGGGAUAACCGCUGAAAGCAUCUAAGCGGGAAGCCUGCUUCGAGAUGAGUAUUCCCACCCACUUGAUGGGGUAAGGCUCCCAGUAGACGACUGGGUUGAUAGGCCAGAUAUGGAAGCCUGGUAACGGGUGGAGUUGACUGGUACUAAUAGGCCGAGGGCUUGUCCUCAGUUG
rnacentral:rRNA from 1 species